rnacentral:lncRNA from 1 species
GCUAGAGGUGGGACAGGAGUGCGACGCCUUCUCUUCAGAGGACAAACUUUUACAAAGCCGAGAAAGCGCGGCAACCGUACUGCAUGUGAAGGUGUGAAAAACAGGAAGGAAGGUAGCUCAGAGACAGCUGCUGCCUCACCUUUGCUGCUCGUCUCCCAUCAAUCCCCUAUUUUCUCCAAAGCCCUCAAGCCUUUUUUAUUCUCUCUCUCUCUCUCUGAUUUCUUUCUUCUCCCUCUCCUCUCAUUUUUUCUGCCUGUAUUGUCUUACUCCCGCUAUUGUCUGAGAGCAGAUUGACAAAAAUGAAACUUUUUUCAGAGGAAGAAUGCUGAACAUGCCAGAAUGAUAUAAAAAAUGGAAGAGGGAACUGAAAGAGGAAGGAUGUUCAUGAAAUAUUGAGGGUGAUUGCUGCAGCUCGUUGUAAUGUGCGAUCCGUCACUGUCAUCGCAUUCAAAUGUGUGCAUGCUCGUGCCGGAGCGAGUGUUCACGUGUCUACAUCUAUUUGUCUGUUUAGAUGAUCCCACGUGAAGAAAUGACGCCCUAUUGCGAAAAUAGAUCGCAGUUCAAUGACUCUCUUCCAGUUCCUGUUCAUGGAUCAGUCUGUAUUUAUCAUUGCCUGAAUGGUAUUUCUUGACAAGUCCUUAUACUUUAAGGACAAAAUAUGUACUUUGGAAAGCGUUUUCUGAUCGGUCAACAGUAGGGCUGGGUAUCACCAGGUACCUCGCGAUACGAUACCAUCACGAUAUUUUGCCCACGAUAACGAUAAUAUCACGAUAAAGCGAUUUCGCGAUAAUCGAUAUGUUGCAAGAAAUUUCAUCCACGAUACAUCACGAUAUCUGUGUCACUGAAGAAAUUCAGAAUUUAUUGACUGCACUGAAUCCAUUUCACAGGAAUUAAAAAACAUUGUCAAUCAAUUUCACAUGAAUGACAGCCAAGUAAACAAAGAGUAUAUUGCACAGUGUCUCCUCUUAACACACACACUGACUACAACUAUUAUUAAAUAUCCAUUAAACCAUUUUUUAAAUUUUAUUUGGUUGUAUACCUAUGUUUGAAUGAAGAUAAAGCUGUCCUCCGAAGAGGGGUGGUGGUUUUUAAAUAUCGAUAUUUGGCACCAGUGUAUCGAUAACGUACCUCAAGACAAGUAUCGCGAUAUAUCGUAGUAUCGAUAUUUUGGCACACCCCUAGUCAACAGUGCGACAAGGGUUUUGGUAAGUUUUAGCGACCAAAACUGCUAAUACUACUCUGUCAGUGUUAGGGACAGAUGCUGGUCAUGGUCAAAGGAUGUGAAGUUGACCAUUUUGAGGACAAUCAAAGUUAGAAGGUCAAUUUUUUGUGCUGGAAGCAAAAAUCACCAUCUUUUAGUGGAUUAGAGAUCUUCUGCAGAACCUAAAGUAAAAGUUCAUUCUCAGAUGCUGGUUUGAACACUUGUGGCACCCAUUUGUAUCUCAUGUAGACAAAGUGAGGCCAAGUCCACACAUACAUGGGUAUUUCUCAAAAUGAAGCUGAGCUGGAAAUGGCUAAUGGCGACAAAUAGGCCUCGGACUGCGUGCUCUCCCUUGGUAUAAGUGACUUGAUUCACUCGGCCUCCUUUGCAGGCCUGGACUUGUCAUUUGCAUGAUUGAUUUAUCAUUUACUUUUCUUUCCAUUGUCCAUUAUCUGUACUUAACUUUGUUUGCUUUGUGUACUGACCACUAACUAAUUAUCAUGCUUUGUUUAUCUCUCUGAAAAUUGUUUGCAUUGUUGACGCAAAGCUUUUCUGCGCAAUUGUGUUUCAUAUGGAAAAGCUAUAAUUAAAGUCAUGAAAAAACCAUUAUACAAAAAAUAACCAUUCAGUUUGAAGGUAAUGGUAAUUAUAAAACCAUCAUCAACUGUAGUGAGCUUGUUUAAUUGGUUCUGAAGAAGUGUG